AUGAUAAAGGCAUUUUCAGUUUGGUUUUCUAGCAAAAUCUCCUGGUGUGUGCGACGGAUGAAUGCGGACAAGAAUGUAAAACAGUGUUUUCAACUGUGCGUACUUGCGCCAUUCUCCUCGUUUGGCAGGAGAGGAUCCAACAACACCGCGCCGCCGCCCGCUCACAGUGUCGCCGCCCGACUCCUCCUCAACGCGCCGCAGACCAACUCCUCGAUGCCGAUGUACCUCCUCCGCCAUACUGGGCUUCUCCCCGGUGGUAAGCCCUCGCCUCGUCUCCCCCUCUUUCCCCAUCGCCGUCCAGGUUUCUUCCAUCCGCCGGUCCAUGGCUGCCGCCUCGUCUUCCCCGGCGAGCUCGCCAAGCACGCCGUCUCCGAGGGCAGCAGGGCCGUCAACAAGUUCACCUCCUCCUAG
rnacentral:rRNA from 1 species